rnacentral:rRNA from 1 species
GACGAACGCUGGCGGCGUGCUUAACACAUGCAAGUCGAACGGAAAGGCCCUGCUUUUGUGGGGUGCUCGAGUGGCGAACGGGUGAGUAACACGUGAGUACCUGCCCUUUACUUUUGGGUAACCUCCGGAAAACGGGGGUAAUACCGGAUAAGAACUCCUGCUGCAAGGGGGGGGGUGGGAAGGUUCGGCGGUUGGGGAUGGACUCGCGGCUUAUCAGCUUGUUGGUGGGGUAGUGGCUUUCCAAGGCUUUGACGGGUAGCCGGCCUGAGAGGGUGACCGGCCACAUUGGGACUGAGAUACGGCCCAGACUCCUACGGGAGGCAGCAGUGGGGAAUAUUGCACAAUGGGCGGAAGCCUGAUGCAGCAACGCCGCGUGCGGGAUGACGGCCUUCGGGUUGUAAACCGCUUUCGCCUGUGACGAAGCGUGAGUGACGGUAAUGGGUAAAGAAGCACCGGCUAACUACGUG